CGCAGGGCCGCCCUGGUGAGCAGCAGGCUUGUCUUAUCAGACAAGGCCUCAUGCUGUCAGCACAGCGAGUGUUGAGUCUGCUGCGCAACACUGACAUCGUCCAGACACCCACAAACUCCACAAGGGAAGGAACUGCCAAGUUGCGGCUGCUCAGCGCUUCAGACUUGGAAGAAAAGGGGGUCUGUGCCUGGAUGAAGGAGCAUCAUGACGAAGCGAUGGAGGGAUGUUGUUGUGGAGGCAGGAUGAGGUCAGAGGGAAACGGAUCCAUCCAUUAGGGGGUAUAAUGAGAGGGAGCAGCUGCCUGCCACUGGGUCAGACAGCACACAGAUGUGAGGGAGCCUCAGGGCCCGACAGAGCCGAGGGGGAACGCUGGAGUCCCUGUGCCAUGACCUCAUUCCCAGGAGCCAGGACUCCCGCUAACACCAGCACCACUCCCAGCAAUACCAGGCCCUCCACUGGCUGAAGACGGAGAUCAUCCAUGCCCUCAAAUCACCUGAGAAAACUCCCCUGUGUGCAGAACAUUCUGCGCUGCUCUGCUCCCAUGUUGCUUGGCUAAACUCUGAUUGACCUGGAGGGGCACCGCGUGCCAAACACUGAUCUCAGCAUCACCUCCACUGUCCAGCGCAAGCUGCAGAGUCCAAUAUUCUCAUGGGUGGUUGAAUAUCUUAAGCUUCGGUGGCAUUAAAUGGGGUGUAGAGUACAUUAAAUUCUCUGUGUAUUUUUCUUUAAUGUGAAGAGGUCAACAGAAGUGCCAGCUGGUGUCAUGGUGUCAUUUUCACCUCUGGACAUUUUGUCCGAAAAAAUGCUGGACAGAGUCUGCUGCCAGAAGUCAAUUACUACUAAAAGAACAACAUGGCAGAUUAUUGUGUCCUUAUCAUAAGCAUGUUUGUGCUGAGUUCUGGAGCCAGACUGUAGUGUGGGAAUAGCAGCAGCAUGAUGAGUCCUCUUCUCUCUCAAUGACAGCAAUGUUCCCUUGGCAGAAACCAGGAGAUGCACCCUGUGGUUAAAAAAAAAAAAAAAAAAAAAAAAAAAAAAAAAGA